AUUGAACGCUGGCGGAAUGCUUUACACAUGCAAGUCGAACGGCAGCACGGACUUCGGUCUGGUGGCGAGUGGCGAACGGGUGAGUAAUGUAUCGGAACGUGCCCAGUCGUGGGGGAUAACGUAGUGAAAAUUACGCUAAUACCGCAUACGAUCUAUGGAUGAAAGCGGGGGAUCGCAAGACCUCGCGCGAUUGGAGCGGCCGAUAUAAGAUUAGGUAGUUGGUGGGGUAAAGGCCCACCAAGCCAACGAUCUGUAGCUGGUCUGAGGGGACGACCAGCCACACUGGAACUGAGACACGGUCCAGACUCCUACGGGAGGCAGCAGUGGGGAACUUUGGACAAUGGGCGAAAGCCUGAUCCAGCCAUUCCGCGUGCAGGAUGAAGGCCCUCGGGUUGUAAACUGCUUUUGUACAGAACGAAAAGGUUUCUACUAAUACUAGGAGCUCAUGACGGUACUGUAAGAAUAAGCACCGGCUAACUACGUGCCAGCCGCCGCAGUAA
rnacentral:rRNA from 1 species